UUGCAGUUAAAAAGCUCGUAGUCGGAUUUCAGUAUUAGGCCCUUCUUCCAAUACGGUUGCUAGUGGUCUUUACUUCCUUAACAGAAUCUUUCAUUUUAUUAAUUUAAAGUGUUUGGGGCCUGUUUCUUUUACUUUGAGAAAAUUAGAGUGUUCAAAGCGGGUUUUCGCCUGGAUAUUACUCUUGGAAUAAUAAUAUAGGACUUUGGUUCUUUUUUGUUGGUGACUUAGAACCGAAGUAAUGAUUGAUAGGGACAGUUGGGGUCAUUCGUACUAUGAAGCGAGAGGUGAAAUUCAUGGACCUUUGUAUGACGAACUACUGCGAAAGCAUUUGACUAGGAUGUUCCCGUUGAUCAAGAACGAAAGUUGGGGGAUCGAAGACGAUCAGAUACCGUCGUAGUCUCAACCAUAAACUAUGCCAGCUAGGGAUUGGAGGAAGAUCAUUUUACGUCUCCUUCAGCACCUUAUGAGAAAUCAAAGCAUUUGGGUUCCGGGGGGAGUAUGGUCGCAAGGCUGAAACUUAAAGGAAUUGACGGGAGGGCACCACCAGGAGUGGAGCCUGCGGCUUAAUUUGAUUCAACACGGGAAAACUUUCCAGGUCCGGACAUGGGAAGGAUUGACAGAUUGAAAGCUCU
rnacentral:rRNA from 1 species